rnacentral:miRNA from 1 species
GGUAUCAAAUCCAAACUCCUCCUCCUCUUCUUCUUCUUCCUUGCACAUGCUUAUAGGAGGAGGAGGAGGAGGAGUUUGGAUUUGAUACC